AGGGUGUAUAGAUACUAAAAGCUAAAAAUCACUAUUUUGAGUGUCUGCAUUAAUAAGAAAUGUAUUCUUCCAAUUUUUUGUUUGUGUUGUCUUCCGUUGAUGAAGAAAAUACCGUUCGCUCAGCGAUUUAUUGGAUCAACUCAGCAAGAGAUACAGGUUUUGGAUCAAAUAUGUUAUCAAAUUGUGGUUAUGAUAUUGGAUUCACGUGAGUGGACAGGAACGGCGUUAGUGUUGGAAACUCUAUUGCGACGAUUUGGCAUUGGUACAAAUGAAUCGUUAUGACCGAUGCGUGAAGUGUUUCUGCAAAGAUUACAUUUUGCAAGAUAAUACUGUCAGCUCCGACUACUCUAACAGCAUACUCAUGGCAUGGGUGACUUCUGGUAUAGGAAGAACUUUUGUAGAAAUUCUCUUGAAGAAGACAAACACGUAUUUUACGACAAAAUGUAUGAAAUAAAGAAAACAAAACCGA